rnacentral:lncRNA from 1 species
UAGUUGAAUCUCAAAAAAAUUUAAUAUACUUGUAGCUCUGCAACUCCAGUUCUUAUGUUAAUAUAACAACCUGCUCCUUUGCUAUUCAUUUUUGUAUUCCUUCAUUUUGGUUGUGAAUAAUAUUGUUUAUCAGCAUUCACAACUCUUGCAUGCUUUUGAGGUUCAGGCUGUGAGCUUGCAGUAGUGAAAUAACCGGGGCUUAAGCAAAAUUCAGCAGCUGAUGGUCUCUCCCUGAUGAAUCUAGACUCAUAAGGUGUGUUGUCCUUUCCUUUGCCCUUCUCAUCAUACAAAUCAGUUGUACUUUAUCUCUUCUCCUUUGCCUGCUUUGAUUUAUAAAAUUACUUAAGUAAAUCAAUACUGCUCACAUCAUACAAUGCAGUUGAACUAGAUCCUUUCUCCUUUGCCAGUUUACAUUUUGAUGUUUUUGCUGCCUCAUUAACUUCACUACUGUCAGUUUUUCCUUCUUUUUUUUUUCUUAUUUUAACCUUACAAAGAAAAAAAAAUUAAAAACCAAUUAUCAUAAAGUGAACGUAAAUUAUCAGAAACAUGUUGCCUUAAGUACCUGGAGUUUUCUGCUGUCCUUUUAGGACAACUCCUAACAUUAUGGCCAGCUUCUUUGCAAAUUCCACAGGUCAAUGAUCCUCCCAACCCUAGGUAACUUUCAUCUCUUCUUUGUCCUUUCUCCUAUUUUUCUUGGGGUGUCUUGGCAUUUUUUUGAACUCACGAGGUUCAAUUCUGUCUAAACUAGUGUGCCAUAUAGUUUUCAAGAUGAUCACUUUUGUAGUACAUGGCAUAGACUGCAUGUUGACAGGGAAUUCCUAUCAAGUCCCACUCUCUAAAGUGCAAUUUCUCUGUUCAAUGUUGACUGUAUGCUUAUCUUCUUUAUCCAUGACAUUUGUUAUCUCAUAGCCUAUGUCUCAUUCCAUUUCAUAAACCACCCAAAAAACUUCUCCUUAUUCUUCUCUAAUUUUUUCAUAGAUCUAGGAGACUGAUCACAUAUCCAACUCUUAAUAGAUUGCCUCUUAUUCCAUAGUCUAUUCAUAACAUGCACCCUUAUAUCUUCCAACAUUAAUAUAAUAUAUUAUUUUAAAUAUCAAUACAUAUCUUUUAAUUUAAGUAAUUUAAUUUAAUGUAAAAAAUUAAAAUUUUUUAUUUUUUCUUACUGUAUUCUCUUUCUUUCUAGAGAGAAUGUAACUCACAGUCUUAUUUUUAUAUAUAAAAAAAGGUUAAUUUAAGCUAGAUAUGUAAAAAUUGAGCUAAAAUGUCUAUAAAUUUAGAAAAUGGCUAAGUUGAACUCAAACAAUAAAAUCAGUAGCCAAAUUGUACUUUAUUCCUUUUUAUUCCAUAACCACGAAAACACUUUUGUUAUUUCUGAUGCAUUAUAUAUAUAUAUAAAAGAUUGUCCUUUUAGAAAUAGUAUAAUAAAAAAAAAGGUUAGUUUAGAAUUUUAAUCGAAAACAUUUAAAUGGAUUAAAUGAUUUUUUGUAAUUUUUUUUAUUUGAAUAUGCAUCUAGCCCAAAUUCUCGCUUCUAAUAUUGAUAUGUAUAUUCUAAAAUAUCUUUUACAAUAUUUUUAAAAUAACAUAUUGACUAACAAUAUUCUUUUAAAGAAAAAUUUCUUGACAGUAAAAAUGAUAUUUUUUUAGCUCUUUUUAGAAUAUUUAUGUAAAACUUUUUUUUUUAAAAAGGGCAAGUCAUGAAGAGAAUAACGAUGGAAACCCUCGAAAAUAAUAAAUGUUUAAAAUUAUUGUUUUAGUCCAAAAUUAUAGCAUGUAAGGAUUUAUUAUUAAUGAUAAUUGUGUGACUUAUAACAAAUGUUCUAUUAAUUUGUGAUUAUAGAUUGUGAAUUAGGAAUAAAAUAUGUUUAAUAAUAUUGGCAUGUUUAGGAAUCAUUAAUAAUAAUAAUUUUAUAUCUUAUAUUUAUAUUUAUAUGCAUUUUAUUUAGCCUCUCAAAUUUUUUAUAUUAAUAUUUCAUUACAAUUUAUUAAAUAAUUUAUUUUAAAUUUAAAUAAACAAUAUUUUUAAUGAGUAUUAAAUAAAAAUUAUUAUAAUACAAUUAAUUUCUCAUUAAUCUUAAUAAUAGUUGAAAUAGAAAAAUAAAAUUUAUAAUGCCCCAACUAAAAUGGUGGGACUAUAUUAAACAAAAAAGAUAGAAAUUACCCCUCCUUCUAUUCCACCAUUUGUGUGCAGGGAAAGUUAACAUCCCUGCACACAUCUCUAAAAGAGUACCUUAAAUUUUUAAAAACACUUUUUAAAUAAUUCUAAAUUAUUAAUUUAUCCUAAAGUGAGAAAAGUCAAAAGAAAUUAAGAAUAUUUAUUAUUUUUUUCUUUUUCUUUUUCCUCAUUUUUUAAGAGUUAUAUUUUUUCUUUACUUAUUCUCUCUUUUUUAUAUUAAUAAAAGAAUUGACUAAAGAGUAAAAUAGAAUAUUAUUGAAACACACAUGUAUUUUAAUAUAAGUAUAAAUAGAGAGUUAAUUGUUUAUAAUUAAUAAAGAAUGUGUUGGAAAUGUUCUAAGAAUUUUGGAUCUCUUUAUUUUUCCCUCCUUUUGAGCUCUCAUCAGAAUUGAUAUACAAAUCACUUCACUAGAUCAAUUCAUUUUAUAAUUGAAAAAUAAUAAUAAAUAAUUGAAAAAUAACUAAAAAAGCAACUUAAAAACAACCAUAAUAUAUANNNAUAUAUUUAAGAAAUAAAAAAGUAUAGAAUUUGGUCAUGUAAUUUAACUUUUUGAUAUAAAUAAUUUUGUAGUCUUUUUUGUGAUACUUUAGUCUUCUGAGAAUUAAAAGGUUAACAAUUUAUAUCUAAAUUCACUAACAUUGUUAAUUCCAAAGCUACUUUUUUAAGCAGCAGAUCUAUGAAAGUGUUUAAUAUAAACAAUCAUUUUUCGUAGGUUAAGAUUGAUGGAAUUCUCUAAGUGCAUAUUUGACUUGGCUGCUUCGUAGUUAUGAUUUGUAUAUCCUCUAUUUUUUAUUAUGCAAGAGUUCUUUUAUUUUCUUACCAGGUAAAGUUGUUUGCAGAUUUAGAUUAUAAUACCUGAAAUUCUUGUGUUUUCGAACUUUCGGCAACUCGAGCUUCGUGUAGGCACUUCCGGAUUCGAAUUCCGACACCCUUAUCAGAAUUUAGCAAACAUGUAAUUUUAUAAUGUUUUAACUAUAAAUUUUGUCCCUUUAGAAUUUUUUUUCCAAUUAGAAAAGAUAAAAUUUUACUAUUUUAUUAAGAUUUAGUAAAAAAAGACCACUGCUUUUCUUUUUAAUUUACAAAAUAAAUUAGUAAUGAGUCAAAUGAUUUGAAUCUUUAGAUAUACUUUUACAAAGCAGAUAUUAAAAGUGUAUGUUGGUGAUUACAACAGGGUAAUACUACUUUAACAAAUUAGAUAAUUAUAAUCUUAUACAAGAUCAAGUUCAAUAUCCUAAUAUACUUAUAUAUAAUUUCUACACUAAUUGUUUAAAAGAAUGGUAUUAUACUAUUUUUGAAAUUACAUUAUUUGAGCUUGUUUAAAAAAAAAAAAAACAAAAAACAAGUGGGGAAGCAUUUAUUAAUUGACGACCAAUCGACGAUUUAGCAACGGUUCAUUUAAAAGGAAAAAGAAAUAUUUUAGCAACGGUUACUUUACAGCCUCGCGAAAUCUAAAUUAGGAUUUUCCCGUUGUAUAUAUCCUUUGCUAUCAGUAUUUGCCUCUUGAUAUUACAAAUUUCCUAAUUCAUAUUUCCCAAAUUGAAGAGAAUAAAUUUUCCUCUUUUCUAUUCUCACAUUUCUAAUGCUUGCUUUUCUACCCAUCUCUUCCUCAGGCCAUCGUCACCGUCGCUACAAAUGGAUUCCUAACUCUCUUUCGUUUUCUUUUGACUUUCUUUUUUCUUUUGGGGUAUUUGUCAAGAAAUUGAAGACUUUUCACUGGUGCUUGGGCUCUAUUGGCGAUUUCUACACUGCACAGCAUUCCCGCAAGUAAUUGACAGGCAUGGCUUAAGCACAAUAUUGAUAACCUUUAGAAGCAAAUAUCAACUCCGGCAUCGUUGAUUCUUGAAAAUAUUUUCUAAUGUUCAGAAAUAUAAAGUUUUUGAAAACUUAUAUUACCCUUACACCACUCUUCUCCUCCCCAUUUCAUUCGACUCAUUACCACCAGCACCACCGGGUUCUUUAACCCAGUAUUUGCGAGUUAUCAAGUUUCAUGAAUGAGCCGCUUCUCUCUUCGAUUCAGCCCGAAUGGAUUCGUCCUAAAACAAUGCCCAUCUAACUUAGCCAAAUGUGAUUUUUGGAAAUUGUCUGGUGCUAAAAGUCGGCUCUUUAUUGUUACAAGUUGUGGUUUAUCUCUUCAAAUUGGGACUGAUUUAAUUUGAUUAGUAAUUGUAAAGUGGUUUUUGCUUUGUCAUUUUAUUAUCCUAUGAUUAAUUGCACUCUUUGCAUUUUUAUUUGGUGUUAUUUUUGUUGGAUCAUUUGUUGUGUGUAAUUAAUGCUUAAAAGAGUGUUUAAUGAUAUUAAUUUUGUUUUUGUUGCUCUGUCAUCUGGAUUCACGGCUUAAUAAUGAAGGUAAUAGCCUUUAUUCUUCGUAAUCCGAAAUGAAUUUUAUACGGUGGUUUUGGUGUAGUACUCUUAGUUGUACUUAAGAAAUUAUAAAGAAAGGAAAGGAAUAAGAGCACAUAUGGGUUGUCUCUGUAUUCUUUUCUAAUACUUGCUCUAUUUUCUUUUUUUUUUCUUCUUUUUAAGAGAAAAGGUUUAGGAGGGGAGACCAUUGUCUACUGCUGCAUGAAAUUACUUUCCUUGCAUCAUCAGCAGAAAAAUAAGAGAGUCUGCACUAUUAAAUUACAAAGUUUAGACAUAGACUAUAACUUUAGUCAAUUUUGUGUUUAAUUGGACCAAAAUAUACUUAAAAGUGAUUUUAAUUUCAUUUAAGGUGGAGAUUAUGUUCUUUGAUUAAUCUAAUAUACAGUAUUGAAUUUGGUCUGAGAUUGAUGAGAAUAUGGCAAGAGAGAUCAUAAAUGACAGGUCACUUGCUUCAAGGUGGUUUGUUUUUGACACUUUCUUUCUUUUUCUUUUUUUUUUCUUUUCCGAAAGUUAUAGUUUUUGCACAGGUGUUUAUCAAAACAGGAUUAACUUAAUUUCUGGAUGUAAAAUAGUGGGCUUUUAUGAGUUUGCAGGUGGUUUUGACACCAAGCCAUCUAGCUAUGGAGUAUGCUGCUGGAGGAGAGCUCUUUGAGCAAAUCUGCGAAAAUGGAAGAUUCAGCAAAGGUAAGAUUUUUAUGUCUCUUUUCAACUUCAAUUUCCGGAAUAUCAAUACACUAAGUAGAGUAGUAACUUUGUACAAAUUAGAGCAAAAACUUGAGAAACGAUUUAGCUCAAAUUACUUUUUUAUUGUCUGUACAACUUGUCUUUUCUUUUUUAUUGCAUACUGGAUACUUCUUCCAACAACUUCUUUCUGGAGUCACCUACUACUAUUCCUUAUCAGUUUCUCCAUGAACUUCUUUCAAAUAUUCUCCCUCAUCAUACAAAAUCCUAAAGUAAACAAGAGAGAUCCAAGUUCCUUAAGAACAUUAACUUAAGUAAAUUUUUUAACAACACCAUGAAAUGAUCAAAUGACUACAUUGUUAAUAAAAUGUCGGAUAAUUUUAAGUUUAGGUUCUAUAAAAUGUUGUUCAAUAGGAAAUUAAUUACAUUCUUGUUUGAACUGUGUUGCUCGAUGUGGCUCUUUGAAGAUUAUUAGUCUUGUGGGGUUUUCUUUUCCAAGCAAUAAUAUUUUAUAAUAUGCAGUUUUGAAGUGUGACUUUUCAAAACUUUCUUGUUUCAUCCUGGAAAAGCAUCUUCUUUCUAUUGUUGCAGUGAUGAUGGUUGGUUUUGCAUCGGUCAUAUUGAAGUAGCUUUAGUAUGUUAUGUUGUUAAACUAUUAUUAUAUUCUCGGUCACAACUCUUCAAUAAAACCUGCAUAUAUAGUCAAUUUGCUAGACGUCAGAAGCUCCUUUUUCUUGUCUCCAAGAUAAGCACCUAAAGUUACUGUCUAAGAACCAACAACACCUUCAGCCUGUUGGUGCCUCGUUGAUAAAAAAAAUGAUAAUGUGCUUUUGAAUUAUCAAAUUGUCAACACUAGCGAGACUUUUAAGUAAUUGGUUAGGAUUCAUUGAAUUUACUUAUUGCAUAAUUGAUUUAGAUGCUAAGUACUUAUAUUUUCUAUUAUGCAGGGUUGUCUAUGAUUUUGCAACAUUUUUCUUAUGGACUAAAAGUAUGGGCUUUAGUUAUAAUAUGACUAUAAUAAAUCAGUUUGAUAAAGAGGCAUGUUUUUUUAAAAAGUACUUUCUGAAAUUUGAAUGUUUACUUUAAAUUUUGUUAUUUUGGAACUUGAUACUUGUGUCUAGGUUGUCAAUCAAUGAGUUCACAUGUGCAUUUGUCAUGCAUCAUAGAGUCACAUAUAAGUCAUUCAUUGUCAUGUAUGAAGGUUGUAUAUUAGUCUGACAUAUAUGGACACAAGAACAUUAGUUCCAAAAUAAUAAUGAAAAUAAUGAAAUCAAAUGAUUGUUAAAAACUCAAUCAUUUUACAGUCCAGAUUGAAGAUGAAUUUGAAAAAGACAUGAAAUAUGAAUGAAGAAUUUUAGAUAUCACUCGAGAUAUUAAAGUCCAAGUUGUCAGUCAAUCAGUCACAAGUCACAUAUAAAUCAUGCAUUGUCAAGUACUAAGGUCAUAUAUUAGGAUGACACAUUGGACACAAGGACAUUUGUUCCAAUAUAAUAAUAUAAGAAAACGAAAAAUAAAAUCUUAUUACUGUUCAGAUUGUUAAAAAUGAAUUUUAUAAGGACAAGAAAUGUGAAUGAACAAUUUUGGACAUAACCUGAGAUAGAUCAAAGUCCUAGGUAAGUAAUAUUUAAGCAUGAAAUGGAAAACACAUCAAGGUGCAAGGAAGAAGUACAACAUUAAGAUCUUGAUGUAUACGAGCACAUACUAAUUUUAAUAUCUAUUACUUGGGUCCCAUCCAACUUGCUGCACAAGUGUUUUGAGAGCAAUAAAACUUAAGAAUAACGAUAAGUUUGUGAGUUGAUAUUUAAAUUACCUUACUGCAUGAUUAUUAUUAAUUUUUUGAUGAUUAUUUUUAUUAUUAUUAUUGUUGUCAUUGUUGUUGUUGUUGUAGUUGUGUUAUUGUAAUUGUAGUUGUUAUUAUUAUUACUACUAUUACUACUACUACUAUUACUACUAUUUCUACUACUAUGUUGCCAUGAGUAUUAUUAAAAUAUAUUUGAUGUUGUAUUACAUGAUGUGAAAUAAUGUGAUAAUGUUUGGUUUAGUAAAUCCUAGAAUUAUAUCUGAAAUCAAAGUAGAAGUUUAGUAUUAGGAGGCUAGGUUCAUAAUAACCAGUUAAGCGACUCGGUAAGUACAUAAUUCUUGAUUGUCUUCUGUUUAUUUGUUUUAUUUAUAUAUAACAAGUGAGUUACUAGUGAUGAAGGUUUUGCACGUAUUAAAUCUUACAAAUUGGAAAUGCUUUUUAGCAAUUGGGCUUUAGUUUCAAUUUAUCAUAAUAAUUCAGUUUGAUGAAGGUAAAAAAGGAUUUGAUAAUAGUUAUAGAAGUAAAUUUUAAAAUUUGAAUGUUUUAUGAACUUUGUUAUUUUGGAACUUCAUGAUUGUGGCCAAGUUAUCAGUCAAUGAGUCACAUAUGCAUUGGUCAUGCAUCAUAAUCAUAUAUAAGUCAUACAUUGUCAAAUACUAAGGUCAUAUAUUAGCAUGACACAUUGGACACAAGGACAUUAUUUUCAAAAUAAUAAUUUAAGAAAAUGAAAUGAAAUAUUUGUGAAAAUAAAAUCAUUUUAUAGUUCAUGUUGUUAAAAAUGAACUUUAUAAGGAUAUGGAAGAUGAACAAACAAUUUUGGGUAUUAAUCUGAAAUUGAUCAAAUUCCUCUAGGUAAGUUAUAUUUAAGUAUGAAAUGGUCAAUGCAUCAAAGUGCAGAGAAGGAGUACAACAUCAAGAUCUUGAUGUAUACGAACACUUACUAAUUUUGAUUUCCAUUUAUUUAGAUCCCAUUCGACUCGCUGCACAAAAGUUUUAAAAGCUAUACAACUUGAGGAUAAUGAGAAGUUUGUGAGUUCAUAUUUACCCUACUGCAUGAUAUUAUUAUUUCUAUUAUAAUUGUUAUUAUUAUUUCUACUACAACUACUAUAAUUACUACUAUUUCUACUACUAUGUUUCUAUGAGUAUUGUUAAAUUUUUUGUUGUAUUAUAUGAUGUGAAAUAAUGUGAUAACAUUUGGUUUAGUAUUUGCUAGAAUUACAUCCAAUAUUAAAAAAGUAGUUUAGUACUAGGAGGCUAGAUUUAUAAUAACCAGUUAAGCGAUUAGGUAAGCACACAAUUCUUAAUUGUCUUUUGUUAAUUUUUUUUAUUUGUACAUGACAAGUGAAUUACUAGUGAUGGAGGUUUGGCAUGUAUUAAAUUUUACAAAAAAAAAUAUUUUUUGGCAAUUGAACCUUUAGUUUCAAUAUACCAUAAUAAAUUAGUUUGAUAAAGGAUAAAAGAAUUUGACAAUAUUUUAGAAAUACAUUUUGAAAUUUGAAUUUUCUUAUGAACUUUGUUAUUUUGGAACUUAAUUCUUGUGUCGAGUUAUCAAUCACUGAGUCGCAUAUGCAUUGGUCAUGCAUCAUAGUUACAUAUAAAUUACGCAUUGUCAAGUACUGAGGUCAUCCAUGAACAUGAGAAAUUGGACACAAGGACAUUAAUUUCAAAAUAAUAAUAUAAGAAAAUAAAAUGAAAUGUUGAUGAAAAAUAAAAUCAGUUUAGAGUUCAUAUUAUUAAUAAUAAACUUUAUAAGGGCAUGAAAGGUAAACGAACAAUUUUCGAUAUACUGUUAGAUUGGUUAAAGUGCCCUUAUAAACUAUUUCUAAGUAUGAAAUGGACAAAACUUCAAGGUGAAGGGAAGGAGUAUAACAUUAAGAUCUUAAUGUAUAAGAGCACAUACUAAUUUUGCUUUCUAUUGAUUUAGAUUCCAUCCAACUCACUCCACAAGAGUUUUAAAAGCUAACAACUUGAGGAUAACAAUAAGUUUGUAAAUUGACACUUAACUUACCUUACUAUAUGAUUUUAUUAUUGCUUUCAUAAUUAUUAUUAUUCUUAUUAUUUAUUAUUAUUACUAUUAUUUUUAUUCUUACUAUUACUACUACUACUACUACGACUAUUUCUACUAUUAUGUUGCUAUGAGUAUUAUUAAGAUAUAUUUGUUGUAUUAUAUGAUGUGAAAUAAUGUGAUAAUGUUUGUUUUAGCAUUUGCUAGAAUUACAGCCAAUAUCAAAAUAGUGGUUUAGUAUUAGGAGGCUAGGCUCAUAAUAACCAGUUAAGCGACUCGGUAAGUACGCAAUCCUUUAUUGUCUUUUUCGUUUAUUUGUUUUAUUUGUACAUAGAAAAUGAGUUACUAGUGAUAGAGGUUUUGUAUGUAUUAAAUUUUACCAAUUGAAAAUAUCUUUUGGCAAUCAGGGCUUUAGUUUCAAAAUACUAUAAUAAAUCAGAUUGAUAAUGGUAAAAAGGAUUUGAUGAUAUUUUAGAGGUGCAUUUUGAAAUUUGAAUUUUCUUAUGAGCUUUGUUAUUUUGGAAAUUGAUUCUUGUGUCCAAGUUGUCAAUCACAGAGUCGUAUAUGCAUUGGUCAUACAUCAUAGUCACAUUUAAGUCACGCAUUGUCAAGUACUAAAGUCAUCCAUUAGCAUGAAAAAUUGGACACAAGAACAUUAUUUUCAGAAUAAUAAUAUAAGAAAACUAAAUGAAAUGUUUAUGAGAAAUUUAAUUAUUUUAGAGUUUAUAUUAUUAAUAAUGAACUUUAUAAGGGCAUGAAAGGUGAACGACCAAUUUUUGAUAUACGAUGAGAUUAUUUAAAAGUGCUCUUAGUAAACUAUUUCUAAAUAUGAAAUGGACAAAACUUAAAGGUGGAAGGAAGCAGUACAACAUCAAGAUCUUAAUGUAUAAGAGCACAUACUAAUUUUACUUUCUAUUUAUUUAGAUCCCAUCCAAUUAACUCCACAAAAGUUUUAAAAGCUAUACAACUUAAGGAUAACAAUAAGUUUAUAAGUUGACACUUAACUUACCUUACCAUAUGAUUUUAUUAUUGCUUUCAUUAUUAUUAUUAUUAUUAUUAUUAUUAUUAUUAUUCUUACUACAACUACUACUACUACGACUAUUUCUACUAUUAUGUUGCUACGAGUAUUAUUAAGAUAUAUUUUGUUGUUGUAUUAUAUAAUGUGAAAUAAUGUGAUAAUGUUUGUUUUAGUAUUUGCUAGAAUUACAACCAUUAUCAAAAUAGUGGUUUAGUAUUAGGAGGCUAGGCUCAUAAUAACCAGUUAUGCGAUUCGGUAAGUACACAAUUCUUGAUUGUCUCUUUUGUUUAUUUGUUUUAUUUGUACAUAACAAGUGAGUUACUAGUGAUGGAGGUUUUGCAUGUAUUAAAUUUUACAAAUUGAAAAUAUUUUUUGGCAAUCGGGGCUUUAAUCUCAAUAUACUAUAAUAAAUCAAUUUGAUAAUGGUAAAAAGGGUAUGAUAAUAUUUUAGAGGUGCAUUUUGAAAUUUGAAUUUUCUUAUGAACUUUUGUUAUUAUAGAAAUUGAUUCUUAUGUCCAAGUUGUCAAUCACUGAGUCACGUAUGCAUUGUUCAUGCAUCAUAGUCACAUAUAAGUCACGCAUUGUCAAGUACUAAGGUUAUCCAUUAGCAUGAUAAAUUGGACACAAGGACAUUAUUUUCAAAUUAAUUAUAUAAGAAAAUAAAAUGAAAUGUUAUAUGAGAAAUAAAAUCAUUGUAGAGUUUAUAUUAUUAAUAAUGAACUUGAUAAGGGCAUGAAAGGUGAACAAACACUUUUUGAUAUCAUGUGAGAUUGUUUAAAGUGCUCUUAGUAAACUAUUUCUAAGUAUGAAAUGGCAAAACAUUAAAAUGGAGGGAAGGAGUACAACAUCAAGAUCUUUAUGUAUAAGAGCACAUGCUAAUUUUGCUUUCUAUUUAUUUAGAUCCCAUCCAACUCACUCCACAAGAGUUUUGAAAGCUAUACAACUUGAGAAUAACAAUAAGUUUGUAAGUUGACAUUUAACUUACCUUACUAUAUGAUUUUAUUAUUGCUUUCAUAAUUAUUAUUAUUAGUAUUAUUAUUGUUAUUAUUCUUACUACUACGACUAUGUUGCUACGAGUAUUGUUAAGAUCUAUUUGUUGUUGCAUUAUAUGAUUUGAAAUAAUGUGAUAAUAUUUAUUUUAGUAUUUGCUAGAAUUACAUCCAAUAUGAAAACAAUGGUUUUGUACUAAGAGACUAGGUUCGUAAUAACCAGUUAAGCGACUCGGUAAGUACACAAUACUUGAUUGUUUUUUGUUAAUUUCUUUCAUUUGUACAUCACAAUUGAGUUACUAGUGAUGGAAGUUUUUAUGUAUUAAAAUUUACAAAUUGAAAAUAUUUUUUGGCAAUUCGGGCUUUAGUUUCAACAUACUAUAAUAAAUCAGUUUGAUAAAGGUAAAAAGAAUUUGAUGAUAUUUUAGAGGUGCAUUUUGAAAUCUGAAUUUUCUUAUGAACUUUGUUAUUUUAUAACUUGAUUCUUGUGUCCAAGUUGUCAGUCACUCAGUCGCAUAUGCAUUGGGCUUGCAUCAUAGUCACAUAUAAGUCACGCAUUGUCAAGUACUAAGGUCAUCUAUUAGCAUGAGAAAUUGGACACGAGGAAAUUUUUUUUAAAAUAAUAAUAUCAGAAAAUGAAAUGAAAUGUUUAUAAAAAAUAAAAUCAGUUUAGAGUUCAAAUUAUUAGUAAUGAACUUUAAAAGGGCAUGAAAGGUGAAUGAACAAUUUUCGGUGUACUGUGAGAUUGUUUUGUAAACUAUUUCUAACUAUGAAAUGGACAAAACUUCAAGGUGGAGGGAAGGAGUACAACAUCAAGAUCUUAAUGUAUAAGAGCACAUACUAAUUUUGCUUUCUAUUAAUUUAGAUCCCAUCCAACUCACUCCACAAGAGUUUUGAAAGCUAUAGAUAUAGAACUUGAUGAUAAUAACAAGUUUAUGAUACUUACCUUACUAUAUGAUAUAUUUAUGGGGUUUAUUAUUAUUAUUAUUAUUUUGUUAUUAUUAUUAUUUUUACUACUACUACUAUUACUAUUUCUAUUACUCUUUUACUAUGUGUGUUGUUAAUAUAUAUUUAUUGUUGUAUUAUUGAUGAAAUAAUGUAAUAAUAUUUGUUUUAGUAUUUGCUAGAAUGACAUCCAAUAUCAAAAUAGUAGUUUAGUACAUAGGUUCAUAAUAACCAAUUAAGCACGUACCCAAUUCUUGAUUGUCUUUUGUUAAUUUCUUUUAUUUGUUCAUUACAUGUGAUAGAAGUUUUGCAUAUAUUAAAUUUUACAAAUUGGAAAUGCUUUUUGGCAAUUGGAGCUUUAGUUUUAAUAUACCAUAAUAACAUCAAGAUUUUAAUGUAUAAGACCACAUACUAAUUUUGCUUUAUAUUUAUUUAGAUCCCAUCCAACUCACUUCACAAGAGUUUUGAAAGCUAUACAACUUGAGGAUAACAAUAAGUUUGUAAAUUGACACUUAGCUUACCUUACUAUAUGAUUUUAUUAUAGCUUUCAUAAUUAUUAUUAUUGUUGUUGUUGUUAUUAUUCUUAUUACUACUACGACUAUUUCUACUAUUAUGUUGCUACGAGUAUUAUUAAGAUAUAUUUUGUUGUUGUAUUAUAUAAUGUGAAAUAAUGUGAUAAUGUUUGUUUUAGUAUUUCCUAGAAUUACAACCAUUAUCAAAAUAGUGGUUUAGUAUUAGGAGGCUAGGCUCAUAAUAACUAGUUAUGCGAUUCGGUAAGUACACAAUUCUUGAUUGUCUUUUUUGUUUAUUUGUUUUAUUUGUACAUAACAAGUGAGUUACUAGUGAUGGAGGUUUUGCAUAUAUUAAUUAGAAAUUUUUUUUGGCAAUUGGGGCUUUAGUUUCAAUAUAUUAUAAUAAAUCAAUUUGGUAAAGGUAAAAGGAAUUUGAUGAUAUUUGGAGGUCUAUUUUGAAAUUUGAAUUUUCUUUUGAACUUUGUCAUUUUGGAACUUGAUUCUUGUGUCCAAGUUGUCAAUCACUGAGUCGCAUAUGCAUUGGUCAUACAUCAUAAUCACUGAGUCGCAUAGUCAAGAUCUUAAUGUAUAAGAGCACAUACGAAUUUUAUUUUUUUUAUUUAUUUUAGAUCGCAUCGAACUCGCUGCACAAAAGAGUUUUGAGAGCUAUACAACUUAAGAAUAACGAUAAGUUUGUGAAUUAAUACUAAGCAUAACUUACUGCAUGAUAUUAUUAUUAUUAUUUCUACUACUACUAUAAUUACUACUAUUUCUACUACGAUGUUGCUAUGAGUGUUGUCAAAAUAUAUUUAUUGUAUUAUAUAAUGUGAUAUAAUGUGAUAUUGUUUAGUUAUUGCAAGAAUUACAUCUGAUAUCAGAACAGAGGUUUAGCACUAGGAGCCUAAAUUCAUAAUAACCAAUUAAGCGACUUGGUAAGUUCACAAUCUCUGAUUCUUUGCUAAUUUUUUUUUAUCUGUAUAUAAUAGUGAGUUACUAGUGAUGAAGGAUUUGCAUGUACUAAAUUUUAAAACUUGAAAAUAUUUUUUGAAAUUGGAGCUUUAGUUCCAAUAUGUCAUAAUAAAUCAAUUUGAUAAAGAUAAAAAGGAUUUGAUGAUAUUUUUAGAAGUAUAUUGGAAAUUUGAAUGUUUUUAUGAACUUUGUUAUUUUGGAAUUUGGUGCUUAAGGUCUUAAUCAAUGAGUCGCAUGUGCAUUAGUCAUACAUAUAGUCGCAUAUAUGUCAUGCAUUGUCAAGUACUAAAAUCGUACAUUAGCAUGACACAUUGGACACAAUGACAUUAUUUCUAAAAUAAUAAUAUAAGAAAAUGAAUUGAAAUGUUUGUGGGAAAUAAAAUCAUUUUAGAUGUGAUAUCGUUAAAAAAAGAACUUUAUAAGGAUGUGAAAGGUGAAUCAACAAUUUUGGAUAUAAUCUGAGAUUAAUCAAAGUCAUCUAAGUAAGUUAUAUUUAACUAUGAAAUUGACAAUUCAUUAAUGUGAACAAAAGAAGUUCAAUAUUAAGAUCUUGAUAUAUCCGAGCACAUACUAAUUUUGAUUUCAACUUAUUUAGAUCCUAUUUGACUUGCUGCACAAGAGUUUUGAAAUCUAUACAUCUUGAGAAUAACGAUAAGUUUGUGAGUUAAUAUCUAACUUACCUCAGUACAUGAUAUUGUAAUUGCUUUGAUUAUUAUUAUUAUUGUUAUUAUUUUUACUACUACUAUUAUUUCUACUACUAUUUUCUAUGAGUAUUGUUAAGAUAUAUUUGAUGUUGUAUUAUAUAUUUUCUUGAUUGUCUCUUGUUAAUUUCUUUUUGAGUUACUAAUGAUGAAGCGACGAAGGUUUUGUAUAUAUUAAAUUUUAAAAAUUGGAAAUGUUUUAUGGAAAUUCGAGCUUUAGUUUCAAUAUAUUCUAUAAUAAAUCAGUUCGAUAAAAGUAAAAAGGAUUUGAUAAUAUUUUUAAAAGUACAUUUUAAAAUUUGAAUGCUUUUAUGAACUUUGUUAUUUUAAAACUUGAUACAUGUGUCCAAGUUGUCAGUCAAUGAGUCGCAUAGGUAUUGGUCAUGCAUCAUAAUCACAUAUAAGUCAUGCAUUGUCAAGUACUGAGGUCAUAAAUCAACAUGACACAUUGGAAUCAAGGACAUUAUUUCAAAAUAAUAAUAUAAGAAAAUGAAAUAAAAUAAUUGUGAAAAAUAAAGUCAUUUUAGAGUUCAUAUUUUUAAAACUGGGCUUUAUUAGGACAUGAAAGGUGAAUGAACAAUUUUAGAUAUAACCUGAGAUAUAUUAAAAUCCUCUAGGUAAGUUACAUUGAAGUAUAAAAUAGAGAACACAUCAAGGUCCAAGGAAGGAGUAUAACAUUAAGAUCUUGAUGUACGAGCAUAUACUAAUUUUGAUUCUAUUUUCUAGAUCCCAUCAAACUCGCCGCACAAGAGUUUUGAGAGCUAUACAAUUUGAGGAUAACGAUAAAUUUGUGAAUUGAUUCUUAACUUACGUUACUGUAUUAUAUUAUUAUUGCUUUGAUUUUUAUUAUUAUUAUUAUUAUUAUUAUUAUUAUUACUACUACUACUACGACUACUACUAUUUCUACUACUAUGUUGUUAUGAUUAUUGUUAAGAUAUAUUUGAUGUUGUAUUAUAUGAUGUGAUAUAACGUCAUAAUAUUUGGUUUAAUGUUUACUAGAAUUACAUCUGAUAGCAAAAUAGAGGUUUAAUACUAGGAGCCUAGGUUCAUAAUAACUAGUUGAGCAACUUAGUGAGUACACAAUUUUUUAUUGUCUUUGUUAAUUUCUUUUAUUUGUAUAUAGCAAGUGAGUUACUAGUGAUGAAGGUUUUACAUAAGUAUAUUUUGAAAUUUGAAUGUUUUUAUAAACUACUUUAUUUUGGAACUUGAUAUUUGUGUCCAAGUUGUCAAUCAAUGAGUUACAUAAAUGCAUUAGGCAUGCAUCAUAGUCAAAUAUAAGUCAUGCAUUGUUUAAGUACUAUACAUUAGCAUGACACGUUGACACAAGGACAUUAUUUUCAAAAUAAUAUUAUAUGAAAAUGAAUACGAGCGCAUACUAAUUUUGAUUUCUAUUUAUUUAAAUCUCAUCCGACUCGCUGCACAAGAUUUUUUAUAGCAAUACAACUUGAGUAUAAGGAGAAGUUUGUGAGUUGAUACUUAACUUAUAUCAUGCUUUGAUUAUUAUUAUUAUUCUUAUUAGUAUUAUUAUUUAUUAUUUUUAUUAUUACUAUUAUUACUAUUACUAUUACUACUACUACUACUAUGUUGCUUUGAGUAUUAUUAAGAUAUAUUUGAUGUUGUAAAAUUACAUAUGAUAUUAAAGUAGAAGUUUAGUACUAGGAGUCUAGGUUCAUAAUUACCAGUUAAGUGACUUGGUAAGUACACAAUUUUUGAUUGUCUUUUGUUAAUUUUUUUUACUUUUAUGAUGUGCGAAGUUCUUAUUCCAUAGGAGUAUUUGUAGCUUCAACAAUGCUAACAAUUGUUACUACCUUAACAAAGUAACAGUAGUAAUACGUGAUUUUGCAUAUAAUUUGACCGAGUUGUAAUAGAGAUCAAUAGUGUAAUAACGAUGUUUGUACAUUUAUGAGGACUAUGAUCUAUGAAUUAAUCUAAAAUAAUUUUCUUAUAAAACUUAAUGAUAACAUUAAGAAUAAUGAGAAUGACUAAAUCAAUAUUAAUUAAUUGAGAUAACUGCAAUUGAAUUAACCUUGUUCCUUUAUUUCCCUAGAGCCUAUCAUGCAAGCUAUGUAAUUCGAAUAAGCCGUAAUCACACACACAUGAGCCAGCUCCUUGCUACUUGUGUCAAUCGUUCAUGACAAUUACAGAUCACAAACUCAAAGUUUAGCAAUAGAAAAAUCAAUAUCAAAGUUGAGUCGUCAGUUCAAUUAAUAUGAAUAAUUCAUUAAUAAUAAGAACAAGAAAUAAAAAAUACUUGAAUUAAAAAAAAUUCUGUUAAGCACAAAGCCUCACAAAAUCAUAAUUAGAAUUUAUUCACUCUUGAAUUAGAAAUUAAAAACUAAGCCACUUAUGGUGGAGUAAGAAUUCACAAGAAUUGUAGAGAAUAGAAGAAUAAGAAUAUCAAUAUCAAGUAUCCAGCCCUUCUUUACUUGGUAGAACUAGCCUCCUUAUAUAGGAAGUUAAACCUAAACCCUAAUAAGAGAAUCCUUAUUAAAAAGAAAUAAACUUCCUAUAUGAUCUUAUCCCUAUAAGAAAGGAUAAGAUAAAGAGUAAUCUAAACAAAUUAAAAUCUUAAAUACAUAGGAGAAAUUUUUCUUUAUCCAGCACUUCUAAAAAUAGAGAAAAUUAUCUAAAGAUGGGUUCACCACGAAUUUAUCUUGAAAAGUUCGAAACUCUCUUCUGCAGAUUCCAGCAGCUCAUGUAAGGCGUGGUCACGCCUUAUUGAAAAUGAUCUUCUGCCCAAAUUUUUGCUCUUCCUCCAAAAGACUUAGUUUCUCACAAGUGAUGCCUUAAAACAUGUAUUUAAGCUGAAUUUCACUCAAUCCUUGAUAUUUCACAAUCUAGAUCAGAAUAAACACAAUUUUCACAAUUAAGCACAUUAUCCAAUCAAAAUGUAAGGGAAUUAAAUACAAUAAGUAUAACUAUUUAUGACCUAUCAAAUUCUCCCACACCUAAUUUAUGCUUGUCCUCAAGCAUACCUCAAUUCAACAUACCAAUUCUCCUCUCUACUUCCUUUUUAUCUCUUUUAAUCUCUACAAAUACUAAAUAAGUUAAACAUACAUCAAUAAGUUGAAUAAUAAUGACAAUUAAGAGAGUAGUACUCAUAGUAUAAAUUUUGUAAAAAUAACAAGUAUCUCACUACUUCAUCAAAAUCAAAGUAACGAGACUUAACACCCUAACAUGGUUUCAUUCAAUACUCUCAAAGUAUUUAGGGUGCAUUUACUCUUAGAAUCAAAACAUAGCAUGUUAUUACCAUAAGCUUGCUAAUGAAUCAGGUCUCCAUCACUACACAUGAAUUAGAUGCAAAAAUCAAAGGGACUUUACAAGGGUUGUAAUAGGGCUUAGGAAAGGGUAUGAUAAAAGGAAAAAUUAAAGUGUUUCACAAUCAAGACAAAAAGGUUAGUUACCUGCAUGAUAACUAUGCCACAUAACCAUAAAACACACUACAAAAACUUUGAGAUUUAUUCCCACAUCUUAUAUUAGCACUAAAAACUUUGGAGAAAUAACAUGUAAUAAUUCAAUUCAAUAUAUUUGAUGAAUACUUCUCCAAUUAUCCUCUUUUAUGAAAGAAAUAAAUAUCAAAUUUUUCUUUUUCUUUUUUUUCCCUCUUUUUUUUUUAUUUUUAUUUUUCUUGUUUUGUCUCUUUUUUUUUUUUGUAUUUCAUUUGUACCAUGCAACACUUCCCUUCUUGUCUUGACAAGAGUAGAAAAAUAGAGGUAGCAAACAAAAAGUCUUGGGUUAAACAACAUGUGUUAAAAAAAAAAAAGAAAAAAAGAAAAUGGAGAAUAGGUUCAAAGUGGCUAACUAAAAGGAAAAUUAACAAGGUAAGUCUUGUAAGAGUCUAAGAAUAGGUUAAUCCUAAUUGCCCUUAUCAUAUUAAAGCAUCAAUCCAAAGAUGUGUUCUCAACAUGCAUUUACAAGCAAGUUCUAGAAUAAACAUACUAAAUUUGAUAACACUCAACAAAAAUAAUUAGAGCAAAAUAUAAUGAACUGCUUUUAGGCUUAAAAGCUCACUUGAAUGUUCAAAUUUGUAUAAAGUCUUGUGCAUUUUUCAAUCAAUAAACUAAUGAGAUACCAUAAGAUAAUUUUAAAGAAACAUUAAUCAUGCUUAUCUCUUUCAUGCAUUAAAACUCAAACAAAAAAUGUAUAUCUAACUUACAUGGUAUUCUAGAUUAUCAAAAUAAAACUCAAGAUUGCAAAAGAAAAAUUAGCACAUAUGAAUUAAAGCAUACCUAAUUCUAACCAUAAAAAAAAAAUCAUGUAAUUAUCAUAUUCCUCCCCCAUACCUAAACUACACAUUGUCCUCAAUAUAUCAAAAAGAAAAUGGCUCACAAAAGGAAUGAAAAGAAAUAUAAAACUCUCCUGAUUUGCGAGCAACUUGGACUGAGUAGUUAAUGGUGAUGUUGGGCAAGGAGAUAGAAUCGCCCAGUGAAAAUAGGAAGUUUUGGUGAUGGCUGCUGCAAAAGAAAAUAAAAUGUUGGUGGCUGUUGUAAAAUAAAACGUUCUUUUUCUUUUCUCUCUCCCUUCUUUUUAAGCACAAAAAUAAAUAAUAAAAAAAUAAAAUGAAAAAUAAAAAAAUAAAAAAGAAACGAGCUUCUGUAAGAGUAACAUCAGAUUUUUUUUUUUUAAAACAGAACAGAAGAUGUUUGGAAACAAGGCGUGGUCACGCCUUAUCGAAAUUAGUCUCCUGCCAGAAAAAAAAAUUAAAUUUCUUUAUUAAAAAAAUUAAAAACCAAAAACUAAAAACAAAAUAAAGUAAGUAUUUGGGUUGCCUCCUAAUAGUGCAAUUGUUUAACGCCAUUAUGCUCGAUGGAAUGAUAAAAUAUUUAAGUCAUCCAAAUAAAUGGAGUGAUUCGAAGGAAAACUAAUGAGACAUAAAGCAAUUUCACCCUCAUGGAAGAUCUUCAAUCUAUGACCAUUCAGUUUGAAAAUUUUAUCUGAAUCCAAGCUUCUAAUUUCCACUUCUAAAUUAGAUUGUAUAUCUAAUUCUUGCUCAUCACCAACACUUUCUUUUGUAAAUACUUCCUGCAUAAUUGGAUCAAUUACAUCAAUAUGGCAAAGAGAAUGUAAAUUAUUAGGAUAUUUCAUGUCAUCAAAAAUAUUAAAUUUAACAAUCUCUCCAUUAAACUCUAUGGAGAGAGUACCCUCAUGUACAUUAAUCUUUGUCUUUGUAAAUACUUCCUGCAUAAUUGGAUCAAUUACAUCAAUAUGGCAAAGAGAAUGUAAAUUAUUAGGAUAUUUCAUGUCAUCAAAAAUAUUAAAUUUAACAAUCUCUCCAUUAAACUCUACGGAGAGAGUAUCCUCAUGUACAUUAAUCUUUGUCUUAUCUGUUUUCAUGAAUGGUCAUCCUAACAAAAUCAAAGCUGAUUCUGACAAGGAAUUACUAUACAUUUCCAAAAUGUAAAAGUCGACAGGAAAUAUGAGCUCAUUAACCUACACCAAACAUCUUCAACAAUUCUAAGGGGAUGAAUAUAAGAAUGAUCAGCUAAUUGAAUCACUACACCGGUCUUUUGCAAGUUAUUUAGUUUCACCUCUUGAUAUAUAGAAAAUGGCAUGAUAUUGAUGGAAGCUCCUAAAUCUAACAUGGCACGCUCAAUUUUCAUAUUAUCAAUAACAUAAGGUAAUGAAAACAUACCUGGAUCCUUGCAUUUUUCUAGCAUAUUCUUUUGCAAAAUAGCCAACACAUUCUUACUUACCACCACUUUCUCUUUCUCCUUCAUCAUUCUUUUGUUUGUGCACAAUUUCUUCAAGAACUUUGUAUAUUUAGGAAUUUGCUUGAUAGCAUCCAAUAAUGGAAUAUUUAUCUCCACCUUCCUAAAUGUAUCCAAAAUCUCCUUUUCUUGCUCAUCUUCUUUUGACUUGGCUAAUCUGCUAGGAAAAGGAGGUAAUGGAGUGUGAGAUGAAAGAGAUAGAGGAGGAUCAAAUUUUACUCCACGUGAUGCUUUAGAGGAAGCUUCUUUUUCCUUUUCUUUGCUAGGUUCACUUUCCUUAAGUGGAAUUGACCCUGAAGGAAUCUCCUUUCCACUUCUUAGAAAAAUUGCACAAACAUUCUCUUUUGGAUUUAUUUUUGGUUGUGAAGGUAGUUUUCCAGAAUUUUUUGAGCCUCCAAUUUACUAAUCGACGUAGCCAAUUGAGUAAUUUGAUUGCCUAAAUUCUGAAUGCUUGACCUUGUUUCCUGUUAAAAUUGAAGAGCAUCGGUAGCAAGGUUUUGAACAAUAUCUUCCAAAGACAUACCUGAAUUUGAAGCUUGAGGUUUCUGGAGAACUUGAGGUGGUCUAAUGAAAUUUUGGAAAGGAUAAUUUUGUUGUCCUCCUUGGUUUCCAUAGUUCAAAUUCGGGUGAUCUCUCAAUCCGGGAUUAUAAUGAUUGGAAAAAGGGUCAUACUUCCUUUGAGGUUGACCAGCAAAUCCGCCUAGAGCAUUGGCCUCUUGUAUCGAGUCUUGUUGCAAUGUUGGGCACAUAUUUGUAGGAUGUCAUUGGACCGAACAUAUUCCACAAACUUUUGCCAUUUGCAAUUGCCCUACAACCAUUUGACGAACUAAAACAGUUAAAUCAGAAAUUUGAUUUUCAAGAUUUUUAGUGCUUACCUCAUUAACUCGCCUUGUAGCUCCAUCAGCCCUUCUACCAAAUUGCUGAGAAUUUUCAGCCAUGUUUGAAAUCAAUUGCUUGGCUUCUUCAGAUGUCUUGUCUACCAAAGCUCCACCACUUUCUGCAUCAAUCAUACUCCUAUCCAUUGGCAAUAAUUCUUCAUAGAAGUAUUGGAUUAGGAGUUGAGGAGAGAUUUGAUGAUGUGGGCAUUUUAGCAUACAAUUGCUUGAAUCUUUUCCAAUACUCAUACAAUGUUUCUCCAAUGAACUGUGUUAUGCCACAAAAUUUCUUUUCUGAUGUUGGCAACUCUUGUUGCAGGGAAGAAUAAGAACAAUCUUUUCAUCUCAUUCCAUGUUGUUAUUGAACCGGAGGGUUGAUAGUAGAGCCAAUCUUUUGCUUUAUCCUUCAAAGAAAAGGGAAAAGCUCUAAGAUUUAUAUGCUCUUCGGUCACACCAUGUGGCUUCAUUCCGGAGCAUACAAUAUGGAAUUCUUUCAAGUGUUUAUGAGGAUCUUCUCCUGCACAUCCAUGAAAAGAAGGGAAUAAGUGAAUUAAACCGAAUUUUAAUUCGAAAUCAACUGCAAUAUUGGGAAAUAUAAUGCAUAAAGGUCGUUGAUUUAAAUCCGGUGCAGCUAGCUCUUUGAGAGUUCUGUUUGCCAUAUUUUCUGUAACUUCAUGAAAAAUAGAUGUGUCACCAAUAGCCAAAUCUAUUUCCAACUCCUCUAUAAGACAACUUUUUCUUUGUUUAGUCUCCUUUCUUAAUUGACGUGCUGUCUUCUCAAUUUCAAGAUUAAACUGCAAAUCAAUAUCUUGAGAAGAACGAGUCAUAAACAAAUAAAUUAAACAAUGAGAAACUAAAAUAGGUUCCUCGGCAAUGGCGCCAAAUUUGAACGGGUUGUCGAAGCCCUUCAAAAUAAAUUACUAAUUUUUCUAAACUAAUUGGUAGAAAUAGUGAAACCGGGUCGAAUCCCAAGAGAACCAAGGUGGAUAGCUUUUUAAAGUAAAAUAAAAAGGGGGAAUUUUGAAUGUUUGAAUCAAAAUUAUAAAUAAGCAGAAAAUAAUGAAGGCUGAAUAUUAAAGUAAAUAAAAAUCAAGCUUAGCAAAUUCCCAAUUCAAAAGUGCUAAUUCCAUCCAAUUGUAAUUAUGAUCAUAGGCUAAAAUAUCAAUUCUUCUAUUCAAGUACUUAGUCUACUUAUUCGAAAAAGCCAUAAUAAGUGUAAUUCUCCUAAUAUAAUUGACUCAAAUCCAACAUCCAAAUCAAAACUUACCAUUAGUCAACUGGGCACGAUAGCGUUCCAUAUCAACUUAAUGAUAGCAUUAAGAAUAAUGAGAAUGACUAAACCAAUAUUAAUUAAUUGAGAUAACUGCAAUUGAAUUAACCUUAUUCCUUUAUUUCUAUAGAGCCUAUCAUGCAAGCUAUGUAAUUCGAAUAAGCUGCAAUCACACACACAUGAGCGAGCUCCUUGCUACUUGUGUCAAUUGUUCAUGACAAUUACGGAUCAUAAACUCAAAGUUUAGCAAUAGAAAAAUCAAUAUCAAAGUUGAGUCGUCAGUUCAAUCAAUAUCAGUAAUUCAUAAAUAAUAAGAACAAAAAAUAAAGAAUACUUGAAAUAAAAAAGAAUUCUGUUAAGCACAAAGCCUCACAAAAUCAUAAUUGGAAUUUAUUCACUCUUGAAUUAGAAACUAAAAACUUAGCCACUCAUGGUGGAGUAAGAAUUCACAAGAAUUGUAGAAAAUAGAAGAAUAAGAAUAUCAAUAUCAAAUAUCCAGCCCUCCUUUAUUUGGUAGAACUAGCCUUCUUAUAUAGGAAGUUAAACCUAAACUCUAAUAAGAGAAUCCUUAUUAAAAAGAAAUAAACUUCCUAUAUGAUCUUAUCCCUAUAAGGAAGGAUAAGAUAAAGAGUAAUCUAAACAAAUUAAUCCUAAAUACAUAGGAGAAAAUUUUCUUUAUCCAGCACUUCCAAAAAUAGAGAAAAUUAUCUAAAGAUGGGUCCACUACGAAUUUAUCUUGAAAAAUUUGAAGCUCUCUUCUGCAGGUUCCAGCAGCUCAUGUAAGGCGUGGUCACGCCUUAUUGAAAAUGAUCUUCUGCCCAAAUUUUUGCUCUUCUUCCAAAAGACUUAGUUUCUCACAAGUGAUGCCUUAAAACAUGUCUUUAAGCUGAAUUUCACUCAAUCCUUGAUAUUUCACAAUCUAGAUCAGAAUAAACACAAUUUUCACAAUUAAGCACAUUAUCCAAUCAAAAUGUAAGGGAAUUAAAUACAAUAAAUAUAACUAUUUAUGACCUAUCAGUAAACCGUUUGCUUCGUUUGCUCUUUCACUUUCUUCUAGACUUGUGCUUAUUUCCAGUAUUGCUGACUUGUGUGGCUUGUCGUAACCUAGGCUGUAGCUCUUAUUAUAAAAAAAAAAAACUCAGGUUAUUUUUUUUAAAAAGAAAGCAAAUAGGCAUUUUUCCAAACACGCCCAUUGUGAUGAAGAUAUUAGAGAAAAAGUAAAUUGAAGGAGUAAUUACUAUUUGUCUUAUGUGUUUUUUUUAUAUCAUACUAGUUAUGUCCUAACAUUUAAAAUUAUUUUUUUUAUCCUUUUAUUUUAUAAUUUUAUACUAAAAACUCAUUCCGUCAAAAUUUCAUUUAGAAAAUCGUUAAUUAGAUUUGUUUUAAUAUAAUAAAUAAACUAUAAAGAGCUCUUUGUAUAUUACAUCGAAAAUCAGGAGGCAAAUAGUAUAAAGUCAAAUCUAGUUAACUCUUGACUAAAGGAGAUUUUAGUAUAAAAUUACUAAAUAAAAAGAUAAAAAGAUAAUGUUUAAAUGUCAGAAGUAACUAAUAUAAUAUAGAAAAAUAUACGGGCCAAAUAGUAAUUAUCUCUAAAACGAAAUGAUAAAGUUGAAAGGAAUAAACCAUCUUUUCCCCUUGCACUUUCAAUAUUUUUGACAAUUUUCUUUGCACCUUUAUUUGUCGACAUUUGAUCCCUGUACUAUUAUUUAUGUUGAUAUUUACCCCUUAAGCAACGGUGCAUGUAAACAGCAACAUUUGUCAUUAAAUGACAUUCAACAUGGCAGGAAUCAUUAUAAAUAUUUUCCGCGUCACAGGCCAGCUGUAGACCAAUAGACAUGUCAUUUAGACCUUUUUACUAGGCUUCACAUAUCUUUACAUUUGCCAAUUAGGGUUUGUUCCUAGCUGAAAGUUACUCUUACAUAUCCAUCAAUUGCAAGAAGAAAUAGAGAAUGAAAGAAUUCCACUUUGCAAAUGUGGGAAUUCGAGUCGUAUAGAAACCUCUGAGGACAAUUCGAACCGAGGAAGGCGGUUUUAUACCUGCUCGCCUCAACAUGUAUGUAAAAAGGUUGAGUUUUUUCUUCAUAGUGUUGCACCUUCACUGGCUACGGUUUUGCGUUUUGAUGUCUAAUUUUUACUUUAAUCUGAAAUGCAGAGUCGAACUUGCAAUUUUCAUUUAUAGUAUGGUGGAGCUAACUGAUCAUCAAGUGGUUUAUGUGAAUGCAUUGAGGAAGAAAGUGAAGGAUUAUAGAGAAGAAAGAAAUGAGACUUUGAUACAAGCCGGGGAAGCACAAGCUAUUAGCUGAUGUGCUCUAGUACAAAUGAAGGGCUACCAAACAGAGAAUGAAACAAUGAAGAGUGAGAUUGAAGCAUUGAAAUAUGACUAUAUAGCAUUAAGGGCUGAAAAUUAUGUUCUUAAGGGUGAAAUUCAGUUGCUAAAAGAGGAAUCUGAACUUUUAAUGAUGGAGAUCGAUAUUCUGAAGGAGAAAAUACAAUCAACGGAGAGGAACAGGAUUAUGAAGAAAAUGCUAAUGGCUGGUGCUUGUCUUGUUGUCUAUGGAAAUGUGGUAUAUGCUCUGUGACGUAUAGAGUAGUGUUUUUGAUGCUUGUCUUGUUUUGCUGUUUGUGGGAAUGUAUGUUCAAGCAUUUCACAAACUGCAUAUAGGUUAGAUUUGCAGUUUGUAAAACUUAAUCCUUUUGCUUUUUAUCAUAUGUAUUUGUUUAAUGUUGAAGGCUAAUGGAACUGUGUUAAAUUUGGUAAUUAUGUGACUAAUUAUGAUUUUUAUGUUGAAAUGGAACUAAAGGAAUUGAA